AUGGCGGCGGCCGGCAGGGAGCAGGAGCGGGACCUGGCGCGCUUCGUCUACGUGACGCGCUUCGGCUCGCACCGGUGCGGCGUCGUCUUGCAGCUGGGCCGCCGCCGGGCUCGGGGCCGCGGGAGCACCGGGCGCGGGGCCGGCUGCAGCCCCGAGGAGCCGCGGGCGGCGGCCCGGGCCGGCGCGGAGCCGGCCCCCGGCCCCCGGGCUCCCGCGGCCUCCCCACCGGCGCCGGCGUCGAGCGCGCGGAGCGGUCCUCGGGCUGCGGCGCGAGCAGGUUUAACCCAGAAGAAUUUAGCUAAGCAGUUUGAUUUCCCUAUACCUUUGAAUGAAGCUUCGAAAGUAAUGAAGAAAAAGAAAAAGGUUCGCGUAUGGAAUAAAGUAUACAAAGUCAUUUCUAAAAUGCUUGAAGAAAAUGAAAAAUACAGACUCAGGCUGAAAUACCAACAACUAUCCAGUGAAAGCAAGUUAACACAGUUGAUUGUAUGAAAGAAGACUGGCUUUCCUAACAGACUCAGAUUACACAAGAUGAAUCUUCUUAUCAUCUUCUGGAUUAACCUAUCUUUGGAUCCGUUUACCAAAGAAGACUGUGAAGAGUUUAAAGAUGGAACUUUAAAUUGAAUCAUAAUUAUAUGUUAAUUUUGGUGUGUUUUGUUGGUAUUGGGACUUUAAUAUUUGAAUAGAAAAACUACCUUCUUUAUAAAUUAAUAGUAUUUGUUUACAAAUUAAUUAAAUAUGGUUGUAUGCACGCAAGCGUUAUGCAAGUGUUUUUCAAGGGUGAAUUAGUACUUAUUCUGUAUUCUUUUAAAUUAAUCUUAUACAUAAAAUUUAAAUUGACAUAGCAAUACAAUUGCAGGCAUUUAUAUUUACCAAUGUUUCCCUUUAAUGAAUGUGUCUGCAAACCACCACUUUAUUCAUCCCUCAUUAUGAUAUAACUGCUUUAAAUUAAACUUCAAUUCAUUUAAA